rnacentral:misc_RNA from 1 species
GAUGAUGAACGUAGCGAAAUGCGAUAAGUAGUGUGAAUUGCAGAAUUCAGUGAAUCAUCGAAUCUUUGAACGCACAUUGCGCCCCUCGGUAUUCCGUGGGGCAUGCCUGUUCGAGCGUCAUUUAACCCCUCAAGCCUAGCUUGGUAUUGGGUGCUUGUCCCGCCUCUCGCGCGGCGACUCACCUCAAAGUCAUUGGCAGCCCGCAUCUCGCCGGCCGUGAGCGCAGCACAGACGCGCUCUUGGCAACGACGGAUCGGCUCUCCAAAAGCUUAUUUCAACCACUGACCUCGGAUCAGGUAGGGAUACCCGCUGAACUUAAGCAUAUCAAUAAGCGGAGGA